rnacentral:lncRNA from 1 species
GGAAGGCAGCAGGAAGGAUGGGGAGUCCCUGGAGUUUGUAGCCACCUUUGAAUGGGGAACAGAUCCUCUGUGCCUCACUCGGACACCUUCUGCCUUUUUCCUUGAAGGCACCAACAGGAAAAGCUGGUGGCCCUGGGGAUGCUGCUGACCGCACACGCGCUGAAGAAACAGAAAAGAAGGUGGGAUGUCCAGUUCCCAAGGACCAAGGCUCUGUGUUUGAGAGUGUAGGGAGCAAUGUUCUCUCCUGGAUCUCCCAGGGGCUGGAGAAGGUGAUUCCCCAGCCAGCCCCAGGGACAAUGCAGUCACUUGGGAAGAGCUUUGAGACAAGCAUUGAUGUUCCUGAUCAGACAGAGGUCCAGAUCCUCGCGGACAAGGAAGAGGAUGCUCUGGAGAUAAUCCCCAUCGAUCUGGAGGAGGACGAACUGGAUGACUGCAAUGACAACACUGGCCCAGAUACUGGCACAGAGGAAUGGGCAGGAGCACGAGUGCUCAGCUGGCUGGUGCAGGGCUUUGAGAGGAUUGUGCCACAGCCGGAGGUGCUGAAAAAGCCAGAGCUGGAGCCAAAGGAGCAGAAGUGUGAAGCUGUGGCGGGAGGCACAAAAGGGGCUAAAACCCAGGCAAAGUCAAAAAGCAGUGUUUCAGCCACUCAGAGCAUCCCAGUAGCAGUGGAGCCAGCAGUGGUCAAGGCACAGCCGGAGCCGGUGGCUACCGUUGUCCCACGGUCCCCAGCUGGGGACGGCAGCAGGAUGUUUGCCUGGUUUGUCCAGGGGCUGGAGAAGGUGAUGCCGCAGCCGGUCACCAGGGAGAAGCAGGACACACAGGGAGUGGCUGCAGCAACCUUGAGUCCCGUGGAAGAAAGGGGCAAAGGGGCUUAA